rnacentral:rRNA from 1 species
UACGUAGGGUGCAAGCGUUAAUCGGAAUUACUGGGCGUAAAGCGUGCGCAGGCGGUUUUGUAAGACUGUCGUGAAAUCCCCGGGCUUAACCUGGGGAUUGCAUUUGUGACUGCACGGCUAGAGUGUGUCAGAGGGGGGCAGAAUUCCACGUGUAGCAGUGAAAUGCGUAGAUAUGUGGAGGAAUACCGAUGGCGAAGGCAGCCCCCUGGGAUAACACUGACGCUCAUGCACGAAAGCGUGGGGAGCAAACAGG